rnacentral:rRNA from 1 species
UACGUAGGGGCGAGCGUUGUCCGGAAUUAUUGGGCGUAAAGAGCGUGUAGGCGGUUCGGUAAGUCUGCCGUGAAAACCUGGGGCUCAACCCCGGGCGUGCGGUGGAUACUGCCGGGCUAGAGGGUGGUAGGGGCGAGUGGAAUUCCCGGUGUAGCGGUGAAAUGCGCAGAUAUCGGGAGGAACACCCAGUAGCGAAGGCGGCUCGCUGGGCCAUUCCUGACGCUGAGACGCGAAAGCUAGGGGAGCGAACGAGG